GAUGAACGCUGGCGGCGUGCCUAAUACAUGCAAGUCGAGCGAACAGACGAGGAGCUUGCUCCUCUGACGUUAGCGGCGGACGGGUGAGUAACACGUGGAUAACCUACCUAUAAGACUGGGAUAACUUCGGGAAACCGGAGCUAAUACCGGAUAAUAUAUUGAACCGCAUGGUUCAAUAGUGAAAGACGGUUUUGCUGUCACUUAUAGAUGGAUCCGCGCCGCAUUAGCUAGUUGGUAAGGUAACGGCUUACCAAGGCGACGAUGCGUAGCCGACCUGAGAGGGUGAUCGGCCACACUGGAACUGAGACACGGUCCAGACUCCUACGGGAGGCAGCAGUAGGGAAUCUUCCGCAAUGGGCGAAAGCCUGGCGGAGCAACGCCGCGUGAGUGAUGAAGGUCUUCGGAUCGUAAAACUCUGUCAUUAGGGAAGAACAAAUGUGUAAGUAACUAUGCACGUCUUGACGGUACCUAAUCAGAAAGCCACGGCUAACUACGUG
rnacentral:rRNA from 1 species